CCUUUUAACCCUUUUCCCACCCCCACAGGAGGAGACCCCGCCCCCUCGGGCCCCGCCUCCAGAGGAGCCUCGGAUUGGUCCCAGCCUGCCGGCUCCGCCCCCCGCCAUGGCCACGCCCCCUCCGGAGCCGCGCCCUGGCCCCGCUCACAUCGCACCGGUGCCACGCCCAUUGCGCAGGCCACGCCCACAGGACCCGCCCUUCCCUGUGCCUGAGGUGGGGGCGGAGCCUGCGGCCGAGGACAAGCGGAAGGGGCGGGGCGAGCGGCUGAAGCGCUGCAUCCGCACGGCGGCCGGGAGCAGCUGGGAGGAUCCCAGUCUGCUGGAGUGGGACGCUGGUACGGACUGGGACAUACUGGGAUAUACUGGGAUCAAACUGGGAUAUACUGGGAUGGACUGGGAGCAAACUGGGAUGGACUGGGAUGGACUGGGAUGGACUGGGAUAUACUGGGACAAACUGGGAUGGACUGGGAGGGACUGGGAUCAAACUGGGAGGGACUGGGAGGGACUGGGAGGGGAUUGGGUUAUACUGGGAUAUACUGGGAUGGACUGGGAUCAAACUGGGAGGAACUGGGAUGGACUGGGAUAUACUGGAACAAACUGGGAUGGACAGGGAUAUACUGGGAUCAAA
rnacentral:lncRNA from 1 species